rnacentral:rRNA from 1 species
UUGUCUUGUAAUUGGAAUGAUGGUGACCUAAACCCUCACCAGAGUAACAAUUGGAGGGCAAGUCUGGUGCCAGCAGCCGCGGUAAUUCCAGCUCCAAUAGCGUAUAUUAAACUUGUUGCAGUUAAAAAGCUCGUAGUUGAAUUUCUGCGUUAUCGAGUUAUUGACUCUUGUCUUUAAUCGAUUUCGCUUUUGGGAUUUAUCCCUUUUUACUUUGAGAAAAUUAGAGUGUUUCAAGCAGACUUUUGUCUUGAAUACUUCAGCAUGGAAUAAUAGAGUAGGACUUUGGUUCUAUUUUGUUGGUUUUUGAACCUUAGUAAUGGUUAAUA